rnacentral:rRNA from 1 species
GCUUAACACAUGCAAGUCGAGCGGUAAGGCCCUUCGGGGUACACGAGCGGCGAACGGGUGAGUAACACGUGGGUGAUCUGCCUUGCACUUCGGGAUAAGCCUGGGAAACCGGGUCUAAUACCGGAUAUGACCUGAAGUUGCAUGACUUCUGGUGGAAAGAUUUAUCGGUGCGAGAUGGGCCCGCGGCCUAUCAGCUUGUUGGUGAGGUAACGGCUCACCAAGGCGACGACGGGUAGCCGACCUGAGAGGGUGACCGGCCACACUGGGACUGAGACACGGCCCAGACUCCUACGGGAGGCAGCAGUGGGGAAUAUUGCACAAUGGGCGAAAGCCUGAUGCAGCGACGCCGCGUGCGGGAUGACGGCCUUCGGGUUGUAAACCGCUUUUGACAGGGACGAAGCGCAAGUGACUGUACCUGUAGAAUAAGGACCGGCCAACUACGUGCCAGCAGCCGCGGUAAUACGUAGGGUCCGAGCGUUGUCCGGAAUUACUGGGCGUAAAGAGCUUGUAGGCGGUUCGUCGCGUCGUUUGUGAAAACUUGGGGCUCAACCUUAAGCUUGCAGGCGAUACGGGCGGACUAGAGUACUUCAGGGGAGACUGGAAUUC